GGUCAACGGAUUUUGCUUCUAGGAAUGUAUCACCCAAUUAUUCCAAAAUUCCAAUAAUUGGCCCAGAGUAGAGCAACAUAUUAAAAAGAAAUAAAGCUUAUAUAUUAUAAUUGAUUGUGCUAAAUGAAGAGAAAUAAAAUAUCUUAUAAACAAAAAAAACUACACUCACCACUUUCCCAUAUCUACCAGAACCAUUCUUAUACUCACGAAUAUACUCUCAUUGAUCAUCUUGUUUCCAUUUUAAUCCUGAAAGAAAAAUAAAAGUUCAAUAAGACUUCUAUGUUCUAAGGCACCAAAUCUAAUCUAAUGUUAUGAAACAAAAUAAUCCUUUGCAUUGAAGCACCAGAUCUUACCUUAUAUAUAGUAGCAUCUAAAAAUUUGUAUUAUUGAUAUAUAAUUGUCUUAAAAACAUAUUUUCUUUUUUUAAAAAAUAUAGUAGGGCAUAAAACCAAACUAAAACGACAUAAAACAUAACUUAAAUCAGGGCAGAGAGAAGGAAGGACUUGUAAGGGCAUGGUUCCUCGCCCAAUUUUUUAAGUGUACUUAAAUUAUUAUAAAAAUGUUUUGAUGACCUUCCUAAAAUUUAUAAAAUAAAAAAAAUAAAAAUUGUUGCUUCUUCUAGAACAAAAUUCUUCAUGUUUAAGGUUAACGCAUUUUUUUUAAAGGCAAGAUGAAUGCAUAUAACUUAAAAAAUAUUUAAUACUACUCACAAAUUAUAUAUUUAGUUUAAAAUAUUCUUAUUUAAUGUCUAUGAUGGAAGUAACUAUGAAAUCUAUGCAUGUAUGUUGAAUAGGAAUAUAUAUGGAAGAAAUAAUUAAUUAAUUAGACUUAGAAUCCCUUAAACACGAAUAGUUUUGAAACGAAAAAAAAAAAAAGAAGCUAAAUUAUCAAGUUCUGAAGAAAGUAUGUUAGCUUAAACUAUAGAUAUAAAAAAGAAUGAUCUGAGAAAAAUAAAAGGGAUAAAGAAAAAAAAAAGUAAGUAUUAAUGUAAUGAUUAUAAUAUUGAGGUGUUCCUAGAUAAUUAUUUAAAAUUAUUUUACUCAUUUAUUUAUUUUUUCUCAUAUAAUUUUACUUUUAUAUAAAUAAAAAACUGGAUAUCUACACUAUAUUAAUUUUUUUAAUAUUUUAUACAUGCGAAAAAUUAUAUAUCUUUAUGUUUUUUUCCUCAAACCGAAUUUUUUGCCUCUCUGCUCUGAGUUAAAUCUAUCAUCAAAACAUAUUGUAUCUAAUUUCUAAAAUCUCACCGAGUAAUAUAGUAGAUGGGAGGGUUACACCCUGGCUCAGUUCAUAACAUUGGUUGACUUGACAAUUGGCAAU
rnacentral:lncRNA from 1 species